rnacentral:rRNA from 1 species
AGCGUUGUCCGGAAUUAUUGGGCGUAAAGAGCUCGUAGGCGGUCUGUCGCGUCGGCUGUGAAAUCCCGAGGCUCAACCUCGGGUCUGCAGUCGAUACGGGCAAACUAGAGUAUUGCAGGGGAGACUGGAAUUCCUGGUGUAGCGGUGAAAUGCGCAGAUAUCAGGAGGAACACCGGUGGCGAAGGCGGGUCUCUGGGCAAUAACUGACGCUGAGGAGCGAAAGCGUGGGGAGCGAACAGG